UACAGAGGUCCCAAGCGUUGUUCGGAUUCACUGGGCGUAAAGGGUGCGUAGGUGGCCAGGUAAGUUCGGUGUGAAAGCUCGGAGCUUAACUCCGAAAUGUCAUUGAAUACUAUCUGGCUAGAGGGUCGGAGGGGAGACUGGAAUUCUCGGUGUAGCAGUGAAAUGCGUAGAUAUCGAGAGGAACACCAAUGGCGAAGGCAGCUCGCUGGGACGGUACUGACGCUGAGACGCGAAAGCGUGGGGAGCAAACAGG
rnacentral:rRNA from 1 species